GAUGAACGCUGGCGGCGUGCUUAACACAUGCAAGUCGAACGAAGCAUUUGCGACAGAUUUUUUCGGAAUGAAGUUGCUUAUGACUGAGUGGCGGACGGGUGAGUAACGCGUGGGUAACCUGCCUUGUACUGGGGGAUAGCAGCUGGAAACGGCUGGUAAUACCGCAUAAGCGCACAAUGUUGCAUGACAUGGUGUGAAAAACUCCGGUGGUAUAAGAUGGACCCGCGUCUGAUUAGCUAGUUGGUGAGAUAACAGCCCACCAAGGCGACGAUCAGUAGCCGACCUGAGAGGGUGACCGGCCACAUUGGGACUGAGACACGGCCCAGACUCCUACGGGAAGCGGCAGUGGGGAAUAUUGCACAAUGGAGGAAACUCUGAUGCAGCGACGCCGCGUGAGUGAAGAAGUAAUUCGUUAUGUAAAGCCCUAUCAGCAGGGAAGAUAGUGACGGUACCUGACUAAGAAGCUCCGGCUAAAUACGUG
rnacentral:rRNA from 1 species